AGAUGGUGAACUAUGCCUGAAUAGGGCGAAGCCAGGGGAAACCCUGGUGGAAGCCCGCAGCGAUUCUGACGUGCAAAUCGAUCGUCAAAUUUGGGUAUAGGGGCGAAAGACUAAUCGAACCAUCUAGUAGCUGGUUCCCUCCGAAGUUUCCCUCAGGAUAGCUGGAGCCCGGUGGCAGUUUUAUCAGGUAAAGCGAAUGAUUAGAGGUCUUGGGGUCGAAACGACCUCAACCUAUUCUCAAACUUUAAAUGGGUAAGAGGUCCGGCUUGCUCGGUUGAAGUCGGACGCGGAAUGCCGGGGCUCCUAGUGGGCCAUUUUUGGUAAGCAGAACUGGCGAUGUGGGAUGAACCGAAAGCCGGGUUAAGGUGCCCGAAUCGACGCUCAGCA
rnacentral:rRNA from 1 species